rnacentral:rRNA from 1 species
GAUGAACGCUGGCGGCGUGCUUAACACAUGCAAGUCGAACGAAGCACUUUAUUUGAUUUCCUUCGGGACUGAUUAUUUUGUGACUGAGUGGCGGACGGGUGAGUAACGCGUGGGUAACCUGCCUUGUACAGGGGGAUAACAGUUGGAAACGGCUGCUAAUACCGCAUAAGCGCACAGCAUCGCAUGAUGCAGUGUGAAAAACUCCGGUGGUAUAAGAUGGACCCGCGUUGGAUUAGCUAGUUGGUGAGGUAACGGCCCACCAAGGCGACGAUCCAUAGCCGACCUGAGAGGGUGACCGGCCACAUUGGGACUGAGCCACGGCCCAAACUCCUACGGGAGGCAGCAGUGGGUAAUAUUGCACAAUGGGCGAAAGCCUGAUGCAGCGACGCCGCGUGAGCGAAGAAGUAUUUCGGUAUGUAAAGCUCUAUCAGCAGGGAAGAUAAUGACGGUACCUGACUAAGAAGCACCGGCUAAAUACGUG